UAGCGCAAUCACUUGUCUUUUAAAUGAAGACCUGUAUGAAUGGCUAAACGAGGGCUUAACUGUCUCCUUCUCUUGGUCUAUGAAAUUGAUUUCUCCGUGCAGAAGCGGAGAUAUUUACAUAAGACGAGAAGACCCUAUGGAGCUUUAGACACAAAGACACUUCAUGUUAAAAAUACUAGACUAAUAGCUUGAACCAAUUGAAUCUUGUCUUGAUGUUUUUGGUUGGGGCGACCACGGGGAAAUAGAUAACCCCCGCGCGGAAUAAAAGUAUAUUUUAAAACUAAGGGCUACCACUCUAAGUAACAGAAUAUCUGACCUAAAAUGAUCCGGCAAAGCCGAUCAACGAACCGAGUUACCCUAGGGAUAACAGCGCAAUCCCCUUUUAGAGUCCAUAUCGACAAGGGGGUUUACGACCUCGAUGUUGGAUCAGGACAUCCUAAUGGUGCAGCCGCUAUUUAGGGUUCGUUUGUUCAACGAUUAAAGUCCUACGUGA
rnacentral:rRNA from 1 species